rnacentral:rRNA from 1 species
UUUGAAUGGCCGCGGUAUUUUGACUGUGCUAAGGUAGCAUAAUCAUUAGUUUUUUAAUUAAAAGCUGGAAUGAAGGGUUGGAUGAGAAAUUAACUGUCUCUAAUUAAUUUUAUUAGAAUUUUAUUUUUAAGUUAAAAAGCUUAAAUAAGUUUAAAAGACGAGAAGACCCUAUAGAGUUUAAUAUAUUUAAUUUAUUAAUAUUUAGUAUUUAUUUUUUAUAAUUAUAGUGUAUUUUAUUGGGGUGAUUAAAAAAUUUAAUAAACUUUUUUUUUAAUUUUAUAUUAAUUGAUAAAUAGAUGAUCCAAAAAUUUUGAUUAUAAGAUAAAUUACCUUAGGGAUAACAGCGUAAUUUUAUUAGAGAGUUCUAAUCGAAAAUAAAGUUUGCGACCUCGAUGUUGGAUUAAAAUUUAUAUUUGGUGUAGAAGCUAAAUAAUUUAAGUCUGUUCGACUUUUAAAAUUUUAC